rnacentral:rRNA from 1 species
UACGGAGGUGGCAAGCGUUGUUCGGAAUUACUGGGCGUAAAGGGCGCGUAGGCGGCAAGGCAAGUCAGGUGUGAAAGCCCCGAGCUUAACUCGGGAAUUGCAUCUGAAACUGCUGUGCUUGAGUUCUGGAGGGGGUAGUGGAAUUCCCAGUGUAGCGGUGAAAUGCGUAGAUAUACGGAGGAAUACCUGAGGCGAAGGCGGGUUGCUGGGCCAACACUGACGCUGAGGCGCGAAAGCCAGGGGAGCAAACGGG